CAGAUUCGGUACUUUGGGUGCAGACAAACAUGGCCGCAUGAUUGUCUGAAAUUUUCUUUAAUGUUUGCCAAAUGAAUUAAGGUUUAAGAACAAAUUAUACAUAGCCAAUUUUCCAUUAGUCAUCAAACCAAAUUACUCUUCAAACUUAAAAAGUAACAAUCAAGAUGGUACGUAAAGAUAUAUUUGAGUAAAUUAUGGGUAAAGUUACCGGCACAUGGCUGCUUCAGUACUUGGCUCAGCAUCAUUACUUUUUUAUUACCAUUUUUGGCCAGACCCUAGAUAGUUCUCAUGAACAAUUUAAAAAACCACAACCCGCUCAUCCUUUCAUUUAUAAAGUAUAAGUUUAUAGAUUCUUUUCUAAUUGAAACUUUUUGUGUUCAAAAAUACAAGGAAGCAAUAGACUAUUAUAAGGUGAUGCUGUAUACAUAAUGUAAACAAUGUGUAUUUAAACAAAUCUUCACAAAAUGUACAUCCAAAUAAGACCUGCACAUGAAUAACUGGAAUUACAUACAGGAAACAGCCCAGUUUUUUUUUGAUACAUGUACAAUGUAUAGAAAAAAGUAAAAUCACAAAAAUCCUGAACAUAAUCAAAUGGUUUUAAAAACACAUCAAACAAAUGAACAACUGUCAUAUUCCUGACUUUACAGGCAUUUUCAAAUACAAUGAUUAUUUUAAACAUUUGCAAAAGAAAAAAAAGCACUAGUAAAACAAUACAAUUAAUUGAAAUAAAAUAAUAAAUCAAAUUAAUGAAGACCAGCAAUAAAAUCCAGCUUGUUCAUUUAAUAAUAUACAUUUUGUAUUAGGUACAGUGACCUAGUUCUUAAAAACUCACAAUCUGGACCCCAAAAAGUGUGUUGGAUAACACAGGUUACUAUUUUUUUAUGCCCCACCUACGAUAGUAGAGGGGCAUUAUGUUUUCUGGUCUGUGCCUCCGUCUGUUCGUUCGUCCCGUCGUUCCGUUGGUUAAGUUUGGUCAAGUAGUUUUGAAGUUGAAGUCCAAUCAACUUGAAACUUAGUACACAUGUUCCCUAUGAUGUGAUCUUUCUAAUUUUAAUACCAAAUUAAAGUUUUGACCCCAAUUUCACGGUCCACUGAACAUAGAAAAAGAUAGUGCGAAGAUCAGGUUAAAGUUUUUGGUCAAGGUAGUUUUUAAUGAAGUUGAAGUCACAUCAACUUGAAACUUAGUACACAUGUUCUCUAUGAUAUGACCUUUCUAAUUUAAAUUCCAAAUUUAAGUUUAAACCCCAAUUGCAUGGUCCACUGAACAUGGAAAAUGAUAGUGCGAGUGGGGCAAUCGUGUACUAUGGACACAUUCUUGUUUAUCUUAGUAUGAAGCUUAGAAAUUUAUGAAUAUCAACAUAAUCGAGUAUCUAAAUUAAAAACUCUAUAUGUCAAAAUAAUUUAAGUUUUUAUGAAUUUUUUUUCCAGCAACACAACAUGAACUCAUAUCCAAUUCAACAUAAUCAAGGCAUGCCACAACAAAUGCCACAAAGACAACAACAAAACAGUAAGUCA
rnacentral:lncRNA from 1 species